rnacentral:rRNA from 1 species
UAACACAUGCAAGUCGAACGAUGAUAGAGAGCUUGCUUUCUUGAUUAGUGGCGCACGGGUGAGUAAUGCAUAGAUAAUGUGCCCUUAGUUCGGGAUAGCCACUGGAAACGGUGAUUAAUACCGGAUACUCCUUCUUGUUAUAAGACAAGUCGGGAAAGUUUUUCGCUAAGGGAUCAGUCUAUGUUCCAUCAGCUUGUUGGUGAGGUAAUGGCUCACCAAGGCUAUGACGGAUAUCUGGUUUGAGAGGAUGAUCAGACACACUGGAACUGAGACACGGUCCAGACUCCUACGGGAGGCAGCAGUGAGGAAUAUUGCACAAUGGAGGAAACUCUGAUGCAGCAACGCCGCGUGGAGGAUGACGCAUUUCGGUGUGUAAACUCCUUUUAUUAGGAAAGAUAAUGACGGUACCUAAUGAAUAAGCACCGGCUAACUCCGUGCCAGCAGCCGCGGUAAUACGGAGGGUGCAAGCGUUACUCGGAAUCACUGGGCGUAAAGGGUGCGUAGGCUGGCUUUUAAGUCAGAUGUGAAAUCCAAUGGCUCAACCAUUGAACUGCAUUUGAAACUGAAAGCCUAGAGUUCAGAAGGGGCAGAUGGAAUUAGUGGUGUAGGGGUAAAAUCCGUAGAUAUCACUAGGAAUAUCAAAAGCGAAGGCGAUCUGCUGGGAUGAUACUGACGCUGA